rnacentral:lncRNA from 1 species
CCUCCACAUUCCCCAGAGUGUUACAAAGGCAUCACUGUGGAGAUUGUAUCCACAGUACAACAACUGCUAUUUCAAGGAAGUGGAGUUUAAAGAGUGCUAUUAGAGACAUGUGGAUCUCUCCAGCUACCUCUUCUGAUUCAUCCUGCACAGAAAUGGUGUGUUUUCAUACAUUUCCUUGUGGUUCCAGUGAAAGAGUGAAAACAAAAGGAAAAGACAAGGAGUGCAAAUAUUCUUAUUUUUCUGGUAAAUAAUUUCAAUAUGAACUGCAGCAACAGUUUUAUGAAAAUGGUUUUAAAUGUUACACCUAUGCAAUGAUUAGUUUUCAACAAAAUUGAAUUCUAUUCCAUUCAUCCCAAAAAACUGAGGCAAGAAG